rnacentral:miRNA from 1 species
CCAGAACCAAGGCAGCUUCCACUCCUGGCCGGGGCUCUUUUCACAUUGUGCUACUGUCUGCACCUGUCACUAGCAGUGCAAUGUAAAAAGGGCAUUGGCUGGGCAGUACCAAGCAGCACC